rnacentral:tRNA from 1 species
GAUGGUGCAUUAAGACCUGCUAACUCUUUAAUCCGGAAAUAACCGCCGGCUCCCUCU